rnacentral:rRNA from 1 species
CAGUAGCCACGGGAAUACGAAGGGGGCUAGCGUUGCUCGGAAUGACUGGGCGUAAAGGGCGCGUAGGCGGCGAUCAAAGUCAGGCGUGAAAUUCCUGGGCUCAACCUGGGGGCUGCGUUUGAUACUUGGUUGCUAGAGUGAGGAAGAGGGUCGUGGAAUUCCCAGUGUAGAGGUGAAAUUCGUAGAUAUUGGGAAGAACACCGGUGGCGAAGGCGGCGACCUGGUCCUUGACUGACGCUGAGGCGCGAAAGCGUGGGGAGCAAACAGGAUUAGAUACCCCCGUAGUCCCUGUCUCUUAUAA